CCUACGGGUGGCUGCAGUGAGGAAUAUUGGUCAAUGGUCGGGAGACUGAACCAGCCAAGCCGCGUGAGGGAUGAAGGUACAGAGUAUCGUAAACCUCUUUUGUCAGGGAACAAAGGCGGGGACGUGUCCCCGGAUGAGUGUACCUGAAGAAAAAGCAUCGGCUAACUCCGUGCCAGCAGCCGCGGUAAUACGGAGGAUUCGAGCGUUAUCCGGAUUUAUUGGGUUUAAAGGGUGCGCAGGCGGUCUGUUAAGUCAGCGGUAAAAGCCCGGGGCUCAACCCCGGCCCGCCGUUGAAACUGGUAGGCUAGAGUUGGAGAGAGGUAUGCGGAAUGCGCGGUGUAGCGGUGAAAUGCAUAGAGAUCGCGCAGAACUCCGAUUGCGAAGGCAGCAUGCCGGCUCCACACUGACGCUGAGGCACGAAAGCGUGGGUAUCGAACAGGAUUAGAUACCCUUGUAGUC
rnacentral:rRNA from 1 species